CCGAGGGCGAUGUCAUUAUCGGAGUCGAUCGUCGUCCAGGGCCGACCUUGGUGAUAGGUCAUUGCAUCACCUAGGGAACGACAAGGACAGACGCGAUUGAUCUACUGUUAAGAUGUAGCCCUCAAUGUCAGCCAAAGGAGCGGCCCAGGUCAACCGAGCUGACUCCGUGGUGACAUCCAAAGCCUGCAAGUCCUUUGGAGCGUCAAUGUCUGUCAGUUGGAUCACAGCAAACGACAAGUGAAUGCUCAUUCAUGCCGAUGUAGACAGUGUAGACGACACCGGGCCUCAAACCACUCAGACUGUGAGAAUCACUCCUGGGAUCAACACGGAUUU